GGCCUGAAGUGGUCUUUGUUCUGGGCUGAGCUUGGAGAAGUUAAGUUGCCUCUGCUGGUCAGGAUUUUUUUAAUAUAUAUAUAUACACACACAUAUAUAUACAUACAUACAUGUAUAUAAACACAAACGUGUGAUAAUUAUUUCAGGUGCUGAGAGAGAAAGGCCAUUCAAAGAGUCACUUACUGAUCUCCACCUGAGAGAAGGCUCAGCGACACAGAAAGCAGCAGCAUGAACAAGAGCUCUGGUGAUGGAGAGUGCAGCAAAGCCAGUUCCCUUCCCACAGGUCUCUCCAAACUUGUGAUGUGGGCACACAGUCACGGGACCAUAUGCAACGAGAUCCCAGCCCUGGAAUUUAUACAGAACACGGGUCACCUGAGCAGGGACAAUGCUAUGCUGUGGAUGUGCAGAGUCGGACAUGCCUAUCACUGGCAGUAUGAGAAGUUACAUGACAGAGACAGAGAAGGGACUGAGGCUGUAGGAAGGAAAAGGAGGCCCCAGUUUUCCGAGGCUUCAGCAAGGGAAGAUAGCUUUGGGGAAAAGAGGCUCAGGCUGACCCCAUCAUCUUUUGAGAGGGGUCAAGCAGAUGUUGGGAGCACAGGGUCAUGUGGCAGAUCCCCAGGAGUCACUCAGCAGAAGGCUGACACAGCCUAUGCAAGGCAUAAGAAGCCAUCACCCAGAGGGAGUCAAAAUACCAGGGAACUGAUGACAUCUUGCUCUGCAGCAGAGCAGCACUUGGCAGUCGCUGGGCUCCAAACUGGUGGUCAGAACGUGAAGCUCAAAGAUGAUGAUGAUGUACUGAUCAUCUCUGACGAAGAGCAGUGUGUGGCAGUUAAAGACAACCAAGGAGACAGAAUCAACCAGAAUGAUGUGUCAGAGCCACCUACUCAGGUGGAUUUGCAGAUGCUCCAAUGCCAGGAGUUGGCAUUUCACCAGCCAACAGCCCCUCAAAGAUCUGCCUUUGCCAGCAUGGCAGGGCCACCUCUAGCCCGUGCCUAUGUUCUGCAGUCCCCUGUCAGCAACCUGGAGGACCCGGGCA
rnacentral:lncRNA from 1 species